AACGAACGCUGGCGGCAUGCCUAACACAUGCAAGUCGAACGAGACCUUCGGGUCUAGUGGCGCACGGGUGCGUAACGCGUGGGAACCUGCCCUUAGGUUCGGAAUAACUCCCCGAAAGGGGUGCUAAUACCGGAUAAUGUCUUCGGACCAAAGAUUUAUCGCCUUUGGAUGGGCCCGCGUUGGAUUAGCUAGUUGGUAGGGUAAAAGCCUACCAAGGCGACGAUCCAUAGCUGGUCUGAGAGGAUGAUCAGCCACACUGGGACUGAGACACGGCCCAGAAUCCUACGGGAUGCAGCAGUGGGGAAUAUUGCACUAUCGGCGGAAGGCUGAUGCAGCAAUGCCGCGUGAGUGAUGAAGUCCUUAGAGUUGUAAAGCUCUUUUACCCGGGAUGAUAAUGACAGUACCGGGAGAAUAAGCUCCGGCUAACUCCGUG
rnacentral:rRNA from 1 species